rnacentral:ncRNA from 2 species
GAGGAAGCCCGGUGCGACUCCGGCGCGGUCCCGCCACUGUGACCCGGACGCCUCGCCCGAGGCGCCCCGGGGAGUCAGGAACUC